UCUUCGGUGGCGUUCUGACUCGCGCUUUUACCUGUGCUCUGAUUUGUUUGGGUUCGAGGCUCGAGGCGAAUUUUUUGAGGGUCAAGGGAGAUGGCAAAAGGUUAUUGCAAGGUUCGAAGGACGAAAGCUCCACGUAAUAUAAUUGUGUUAUUAAAUUAUGAAUUUAUGUAUAUUGGACGAAGUGAGUUAUGUUUAUGGCAUCAGAAACAAUGGGUGUUGAAUAAUAUUAUUUUUUGUCAUUACCUAGUUGUUGAUGUGAAAUGAAAAAGAGAAUCAAGUGCUGACAAAUUAUGACAUCAUUCAAAAACUGGAAAAGUGUUCUAGACGGUUUAAUGUGCUACAGUUAAUUCAUUUUCGCGACAAAAUCUCUUUUGGAACGUAUCACUAGAGACCGGAUUUUUAGGAAGUUAAAAUAGUAUAUUAUUAUACAAGUUCUAUUGUGGCACGAAUGAUUUUGGAGCACGACGACGGAGUGCUCCAAUAGAAUGAGUACCACAAUUAAGUCUUAUAAAACGGGUGUAAUAUUCUAUUUUUUUCUACUUUCUAUUUUUUUGUUCUAUUUUUUAAAAUCUGUUCAAACUGUUUCCUCUUAAUUUUGUUAAUUAUUCGGGCUUUAUCAAUAAACGAUUUGACGCUGUUGACAGAUCAGUGAUCACUGAUCACACACUACAUUACAGUGUUGACUGAUGACAUCUAACCCAGCAGUGCCAAUACAACUCCUAAAAAUUUACUAAAAGGAGUUGCACAAAAGUUCUCUUUGCGAAAUAACUUUCGUUUUCAUAAUGAACAAUUUGUGAAACCAAAGUAGAAAAACCUUAUUUAGAUAUCAUAAAAGGUUGUACAAAAACAGGUUGUACUGUAGGAUACAUUUUUUAUUAAUUCCUACUACAAGAAAGAAAAAUAGUAUAUUUCCUAACGUGCGAAUGAUAUCAUGCGAGUGCAUUGAGACGAACGAGGCGCAGCCGAGUUCAGAUGAAGAUGCACAAACAUGAUAGUCACUUUAGACAUAAAUCGUAAAAACUAUUUUUUGGACGACUUGAACAAAAAUGUAAGAAUUUUAUGAAUAAAAACACUCUACGCCAUUUGGCCACGAAUUGCUAGUUCCACUGGCUGCUCAAAAACUGGCGCACCAACUCAGUGGUACGUUAUUGAGAAGCAAGUGCAAAUUACGGUAAAAAUGUUGAAAAAAUUCCUAAAGUUAUAUUUUAAAAAAUCUGGGGCUACAAACUUAUUGUGUUAACUUCUUUAGUUUUCAUUAUUUUUUUAUAUUUUUAUGUUUCAUACCAGGUAAUCGUUCCGUAACAAAACGAUGAAUAAUUAUUUUAAAAUUUACUAUCAGAUUUUAGCAGUUUUUUUAAUUUAAAAAAAUUAAAAUUCGUCCAAAAAAUUACAAUGUGUAGAUGUGCCAACACUGGGAAUUAUUUCCUAGGAAACCGCUUCAAAAAUAAUUUAUUUUUAUUGUUGCUCAAAUUUUAUUGCGGUCAUGACUGUUAUACAACGUUGCCACAUAUCAUUUACCUAAAAUUAGUUAUUUAUCAAUAACUUUAAUACAACGAAUUUUUUUACUAUUUUUACCAUUAUAUGUAACCACUUCUCUACCACACACCAUUGAGUUGGUGCGCCAGUUUUUGAGCACGCUGUAUAAUGGUUCUGUCAUUCUGUUCAAUGAAUUUUGCACAAAGGAAUUUCAAGUGAAUUUCUCAAGAACUGUAUAAAAAAAUGUGUAAAAAAUUAAAAAAAGUGUCUUUCUCACAGAACAGGAUUUGGUCUAAGAUGCGAAUAAAAUGAUUUUGCUUUGUUUUUUAAAUAAUUUGACUUUUUUGACGAAAGCACCCUUUUUAAAAAUUACACAAAAACAAAAAUUCUAGAAAAGUAGAACUUUUACAGAACUAAUUAAAAUAUACACUGCCGGUUUGGAAAAAUUAAUAAUUAUAAUUUUAAUAAUUAAAAUAAAUAAAUUUUUCAAAUAAAAAUUAACAACUGACGAACACUGCAAUUUUGACAAAUUAUUUCUUUAUUCAAAAAUCAAGGCUGAUACAAAUAUUUUAUAAGAUACAAAAAUUGUUUAAAAUUAAAAAUAAUUUAAUUUAGGAUUAUUAGCUGUUUCAAAAUUAUAAAAACGCCAGCGUUGCAUUUUUUCUCUAAAUUAGCUGUUACAAAUUAUUCAUGCAUUUCAAAAAAAUAAUUCGGUUAAUUGCGAGGACAGUGUUUUUAUAGUUUUGAAACAGCUAAUCGAGUUUGCAUAUUUUCAAAAUUUUAAGCUUCAAACACUGACUUUAAUGCUGAAAAACUAAAAACACAAAACUAAAAAAUUUUGAGACUGAAAUUCAGACGAACUAAGCGACUGAAAACUGAGAAACUCAAAAAACUAUUGAACUGGAAAAAAAACUAAUAAACUAAAACAUUAGAACGAAAAACCAAUUAUAAGAGACUGAAAAGCUAAAAAACUUAAAAAUAGUAAGAUCUGUACAUCUGAGUGACUGAAAAGAAUGAUAAUUAAAAAACUAUGAAACUGCUAAUUAAGAACAUUAAUAAGACAAGAUAGUAAAACCACGAAAAACUGAAAAAUUAAAAAAAUUAAUUAUAUGAAAUACUAUGGGGAAAUUAAGAAACUGAAAAGCUGAAAUACAUUGAACAUUAAAAAAGUAUCUUAAUUUAAAUUACAAGUAGGCAGGCUAAACACAACUGUAGGAUGUUUAAAACUUAUUUAAAACAAAUUUAUUUAGUGCCGGUUUAUAGAAAACGUUGUUAAAAUUUACUUCGUUGUUAAAAGUUAACAACGCGAAUGGACCAAUCAAAUUGGUUGAAUUUAAUCACGUGACCAGUUAAUCACGCAUUUAUUUGCAGAUUAAAUUAAUGACGCUUCUAUAAAUCAGUCCUUAGAGUUUUAAGAACAGCCCUUAAAGAUUGCGUGUUAGGAAAGUUUCCCAAAAUUUGGUCCCUACAUAUCACUGUGCACCUUAUUGUUGGCACAUGUGAAAGUAGUUUUUUAAGUGUUGUUGUAACGGUAAAUAAAUAAAGUUGCUCAAGUUUCUAAA